UUCGCAGUCCUCUGCGCGACAUCUUUAUUUUCUUUCGUUUCUUUUUCCAGAUAAUGGACAGCACUGGAAAAAAAGUACGAAUAUAAACUGGGGUUUUAUUUUAUUUUUGCGAAACUGCGGCCGUUUAAUAUAGCAAGAUACUGUUUUCCACUAUAGCAGUCAGAACUUAAGUCGACAGUGGGGAAAUGCAUUGUCUGUAACGCACAAACUCGGUAUAAAGUGAAGAUUAAAUUGUUAAAAGUGGGGUAAUAACACACUGAAGUUGUUCCCCGGUAAUGGGGGGAUUUGCUGGUGUUUAAUUUUUAGAAGGGCGCUGGGAUGUUGCGGGGAGCCUCUUGUUUGUCUGCGUCGCUGUGAAUCACUGUUCACCUUAAAUGAACCCGUGUAAUCCGGAGCCGAACCCGCACGGAGCGCCUCCGCCGCCUGAAAUUGUCGCCGCUGCGGUCGCUGGCGGCCAGCUUCUCUCGGCAAGAAAAAUAAAUGAUAAACGCAUUUUCAGGGGGAAAUGUGUUUGCCUGCUGAUGACGGUCUGAACCGCGGACCGUGAGACCAACUGAGCCGCCGAGUCUCCCCGCCGUUCCGGGCUUUUUCCUGGCGGACAAAAUGAACCGGGGUGGGGGGGUGCUUGUGAAGAAAUGACAUUUCUGCCUGGUUUAGAGGUCAAGGUGUAUAUCGCCGUAAACUUUCAGCUGAGAAAAGCCUGAUAUUUUGGAUCUAAAAUUGUGGUGAUUUUUCCCCACUCCAUGUGUUUCCCCUCCGAAAAGGAAAGUAGGCUGCUUCAUUAAAGUACACCGAGAUGUUGCUGCUGCGGCGUAAUAACAAAUCUAAAGUGAUACAGAAUUCUCCUGGAUCUUCACCCUCAGCUUGGGGUUUGCUUCAGAAAAGGGUCUGGUCCAGAGAUCCGAGGAGGG